rnacentral:rRNA from 1 species
UACGUAGGGUGCGAGCGUUAAUCGGAAUUACUGGGCGUAAAGCGUGCGCAGGCGGUUUUGUAAGCCAGAUGUGAAAGCCCCGGGCUUAACCUGGGAAUGGCAUUUGGGACUGCAAGGCUUGAGUGCGGCAGAGGAGACUGGAAUUCCUGGUGUAGCAGUGAAAUGCGUAGAUAUCAGGAGGAACACCCGUGGCGAAGGCGGCUUUCUAGGAUAUACCUGACACUGAGAAGCGACAGCUAGGGGAGCAAACAGG